GAAGGCAUCACUCACAAGCUUGCCCUUAGUGGAGGACUUGUCCGCGCAUUCCUUUGAACCUUCGUCUUUCGAGCAACACCUGAUCUGGGGUCGCACUGAAGCACAACCAUGCCAAGAACUGAAGAACGCAGCAUGAUGGCAAUGCCAAAUCCUGCAAAUUUGCUGCCCAAGAACGAGCACUCUGAGCACGCUCCAGACCACCAGUAGAGAAAGAAAAAAUUCACCUUUAUUCGGCUGGCGGGCUCCUCUACCGACGGAGGCGGCUCGGUAGCGCGAGAAGAACGCAGGGGAGAUGGACGAGACCGGUGAGAGGAGCGAGUGGCAGCCGGUGCCUGCCAUUGCCGCCUGCCUCUCUCGGCGUUGUGAGGACGAGAAGAGGAGGGGAGCGAGCGGCUGGAGAUUGGGUUCGGCCCCGAUCAUAUUUGGGUGUUUGGGUCCGACCGAGCCAGGCCGGCUUCUGCUCAGUCUCAGACCGAAGAGGCCGAACCGAUGGGAAGUGGCCGCGCCGCCCAGGCACACGCUUCUGUAUCAGGCGGCGCCGGCAGCAGUAGGAGCUUGGCGGAGGAUAAAAAGCCGCCCUUCCGGCCCGCCCCGGACGACACCAAGCCCGUCCUCCGCGACCCGAUCUCGCGGUCGGACCCCGUGGAGGUCGAGCAGGCGGUGCUGCGGCCACCACCCUUCCCCUGACACCGUGCGUUUGUGCCAGGUGCGACCUCUUGGUGGACAAUUCCGCUCCUGCCUAGUGUUUCGUUCACAUAUUUUUGUUGAGAAAAUUGCAUAUACAAUACCAAGACAAUGUAUAUUAUCCAGUACUCCACUAAAUGAAAAUCCUACGCAGAACGUUGUUAAUUUCGAAAUUUAAAUUGGUUUGUUGUCUUGGAUUUUC